UCCCUCUGGCAAUGAGCAAAGAGACACUAUUGGUGGUAGUGUUCUUAUAUCAGUCAGGGACAGUGCAGAUGGCAGUGCCUUGUUCAUUCUAGCUUGAUGCCUUGCUUGUUUGCAAGGUUGUUUUAUGCCUAUGUUAGGACUCAUAA